rnacentral:rRNA from 1 species
AUUGAACGCUGGCGGCAGGCCUAACACAUGCAAGUCGAACGAGUGGCGGACGGGUGAGUAAUGUCUGGGAAACUGCCCGAUGGAGGUGGAUAACUACUGGAAACGGUAGCUAAUAACGCGUACCAUCCGAUUUGCCCAGAUAGGAUUAGCUUGUAGGUGAGGUAACGGCUCACCUAGGCGACGAUCCCUAGCUGGUCUGAGAGGAUGACCAGCCACACUGGAACGAGGACACGGUCCAGACGCCUACGUGAGGCAGCAGGGGGGAAUAGUGCACAAUGGGAGCAAGCCGGAUGCAGCCAUGCCGCGUGUAUGAAGAAGGCAUUCGGGUUGUAAAAUACUGUAAGCGGGGAGGCGGUACCCGCAGAAGAAGCACCGGCUAACUACGUGCCAGCAGCCGCGGUAAUUC